GGUUCAGGACGAACGCUGGCGGCGUGCCUAACACAUGCAAGUCGAGCGAGGAGAUCCUUCGGGAUGAUCCUAGCGGCGGACGGGUGAGUAACACGUGGGCAACCUGCCUCAUAGAGAGGAAUAGCCUUCCGAAAGGGAGAUUAAUACCUCAUAACAUUGCAGUUUCGCAUGGAACAGCAAUUAAAGGAGCAAUCCGCUAUGAGAUGGGCCCGCGGCGCAUUAGCUAGUUGGUGAGGUAACGGCUCACCAAGGCGACGAUGCGUAGCCGACCUGAGAGGGUGAUCGGCCACAUUGGGACUGAGACACGGCCCAGACUCCUACGGGAGGCAGCAGUGGGGAAUAUUGCACAAUGGGGGAAACCCUGAUGCAAGCAACGCCGCGUGAGUGAUGACGGCCUUCGGGUUGUAAAGCUCUGUCUUCAGGGACGAUAAUGACGGUACCUGAGGAGGAAGCCACGGCUAACUACGUGCCAGCCGCAGC
rnacentral:rRNA from 1 species